rnacentral:rRNA from 1 species
CAGAGGUCCCAAGCGUUGUUCGGAUUUACUGGGCGUAAAGGGAGCGUAGGUGGCAUUCUAAGUCUGAUGUGAAAGCUCUGAGGUUAACUCAGAAAUGGCAUUAGAUACUAGUUUGCUUGAGGAUUGGAGGGGAGAUUGGAAUACUUGGUGUAGCAGUGAAAUGCGUAGAUAUCAAGUGGAACACCAGUGGCGAAGGCGAAUCUCUGGACAAUUCCUGACACUGAUGCUCGAAAGCUAGGGGAGCAAACGGGAUUAGAUACCCCGGUAGUCCUAGCUGUAAACGGUGCACGCUUGCUGUAGGUGGAAUCGACCCGCCUGUAGCGAAGCUAACGCGUUAAGCGUGCCGCCUGGGAAGUACGGUCGCAAGAUUA